GCGGGAGGGGAGGUUUUCUUCUCAGUCGGCUGCACGCUGCCGUCUGGUGCCUGCAGCCCUGCCUGCGGUGACGGUCCCUCUGCCCGAGCUCCGCAGCUUUGUCCGGGAACGGGUAGAGGGAAUUUUCUCCUAGCAGGAUGUUAGAUUUGAGGGGCUGUUGUAUCUGGAGCGGUGUUUGAAACAGCUUUGUUGCUGGUGAAACAGCGCUCCCACAGCCAAUUAAAGGAGCCUUCUGAGAGCGCUCUGAUGCGCAUCCAGUUGGGCAGGUGACUGGUCGUUUCCUCAUAAAACCACUCAAAGGAAUGUCUGAAACAUCCCAUGAAUGUCAAAACACCGAGUGCUUAACCUGCCGGCUUCCAUUCUGUGCUUUUUACAUUAUGCACACAAAAAAACUACCUGCAGAAGAUAGCUGCGAGUUGCACGGGUGUGCUUUUCGAGCUUGGAGUUGGAAGCCUUGUGGAAGAGUGUUGUGUCCUGUAGGAAUUAGCUGGGAACUGUUGCAGUUUCCAAAGUAUGUAGGUUUCUGCAAAGGUCAUGUCUCUUAUUUAUUUGCAUGGAAACUACUGCAGAUACCAAGAGCACAAUGGCACUACUUAAUAGAGCAAAUUCUCAGCUACAAAACACUGUUUUUCAACACUCACCACUAGCUAUGCAUUUUCAACAGCCAUGGACCUGAGCCUGCAUGCCACGCUUGUAAGAGUCUGCAGAGGUGACCCACUGUUGCUGUCACUGCUCCUGAAACGCACCACCCACAACCUCACUGUGCUCAUAUCCACUGCUUGGUCUCCAUCAACAUUCAGCAUCAUGAAUGUCAGUAGGUGCCAUUUUUUCUGCAUGGAGGAAUUCAGUGACACACCUUUGCUUUGUGUGCACUUCCACAUCAGAUGCCACUGUGUCAGGACUGUCCCUCUGCUGCAUAUCUGUCAUAUGGCAACAACAUGGAACGGAAUGUUGGCGGGAAGGUUUGACAUCUCCUGCCAUACCACGAACAUCUGCCUCUGAUACUGUGGGCCAACAUAAUAAAAUAGGAGGCACUACUUUUGGAGCAACCCUCAUUUCUACUGUAGUAGUUUUGCACACGUGCAACUUCUUAAAACUCAUCAACACAAAGACCUUUAGUGAUGACGUGCCGCAACUCCCUGGACUCAGCAGUGAAGAUGUUCAAGCCCAGCACAACAGGACCAUAAGAAAGACAUUGAGGCCCCUCACUACAAGAAAGACAGUGAAGCCCUGGAGCAUGGCCAGAGAAGAGCAACAAAGAUGUGUGAACUACAGAGAGCCCUGCCUGGCAGGUAAUCUCACAUGAGGAGCACACCUGAAUGCUGGGAACCCCCAGGAACUUUGUGGCCAUCUAUCAGCACCGACACACAGAAAUUGAGGAUCUGGAGCACACCUGCAGCCAUCUGGAAGCCAGACUGUGAGAAAAGAGGCUCCUGAAGGAAUAUUGGCAGCUGUUCCUGGACAGUGCUGCAUUGAAAAUGUUGCUGUGAUGAGAAAAUUGGAGGCCAGAAUGAGGAUGUGAAAUAAUGCUGAUCUCCAGCAGUUACAAGCUGAAAGGGAGGAGCUUGAAGAAAAACAUCAGGGAACCAAAUGCUGGGAUAUAUGAUGAACAAGAUAUUCCCACAUGCUGAAACUCAGUGUGUAAGCGAAGCUCUAAUGUUAAGCACAAAAUGGGGAAAAUGUAGCUGUAGGGAAGGAGUUGUAGGUGCUCACUGAAAGUACAACCCUGCCAAGACUUCCCUCUGAGGCCUGGAGAAGUAUCAGGCUGCACGUUAAUGAGAGCAUGGGGGUCCAUCAUACUCAGGGCUUGGAAGACCAUGUCUACAAGUUGUCCAAUGCUCCCACAUCGGAAUUGUAGAAUACCCUGAGUUGGAAAAGACCCACAAGGAUCACUGAAGCUACCUCCAGGCUCCACACUGGACCACCCAUCAACCAGACCAUAUGUCUGAGAGUAUGCCCUGUGCAGCCCGUUCCAUGCCCACCGCCCUGUGGUGCAGCCCCUUUCCCUGACCCCCAGCUGCCCUCCCCUGACACAGCUCCAUGCCGUUCCCUCGGGCCCUGUCGCUGUCACACAGAGCAGAGCUCAGCGCUGCCCCUCCGCUCCCUGUGAGGAGCUGCAGCCACCAUCAGGCCUCCCCUCAGCCUAAACUUAAUUCAAUUUAUUGAAGUAUAUUUGAUUUGGUCAAUCAGCCCCAAAGCCUGCAUAGAUAUUUGUAUUUCAGAGGAAAAAUGGAUUACUGCAAGCUAUGUCAACUGACCUAACUUCUCUGCAAAGCUGUUGCCCCUUUGUGCUUAAAGGACUGUGU
rnacentral:lncRNA from 1 species